rnacentral:rRNA from 1 species
UACAGAGGUCUCAAGCGUUGUUCGGAUUCAUUGGGCGUAAAGGGUGCGUAGGCGGCGCGGUAAGUCGGGUGUGAAAUCUCGGGGCUUAACUCCGAAACUGCAUUCGAUACUGCCGUGCUUGAGGACUGGAGAGGAGACUGGAAUUUACGGUGUAGCGGUGAAAUGCGUAGAGAUCAAUGAGGAAGACCAGUGGCGAAGGCGG